AACUGAGGGUAGCGGAGAAAUUCCAAUCGAACCUGGAGAUAGCUGGUUCUCUCCGAAAUAGCUUUAGGGCUAGCCUCAAGUGAUGAUUAUUGGAGGUAGAGCACUGUUUGGACGAGGGGCCCCUCUCGGGUUACCGAAUUCAGACAAACUCCGAAUGCCAAUUAAUUUAACUUGGGAGUCAGAACAUGGGUGAUAAGGUCCGUGUUCGAAAGGGAAACAGCCCAGACCACCAGCUAAGGUCCCAAAAUAUAUGUUAAGUGGAAAAGGAUGUGGCGUUGCCCAGACAACUAGGAUGUUGGCUUAGAAGCAGCCAUCAUUUAAAGAGUGCGUAAUAGCUCACUAGUCGAGUGACACUGCGCCGAAAAUGUACCGGGGCUAAACAUAUUACCGAAGCUGUGGAUUGUCCUUUGGACAAUGGUAGGAGAGCGUUCUAAGGGCGUUGAAGCAUGAUCGUAAGGACAUGUGGAGCGCUUAGAAGUGAGAAUGCCGGUGUGAGUAGCGAAAGACGGGUGAGAAUCCCGUCCACCGAUUGACUAAGGUUUCCAGAGGAAGGCUCGUCCGCUCUGGGUUAGUCGGGUCCUAAGCUGAGGCCGACAGGCGUAGGCGAUGGAUAACAGGUUGAUAUUCCUGUACCACCUAUAAUCGUUUUAAUCGAUGGGGGGACGCAGUAGGAUAGGCGAAGCGUGCGAUUGGAUUGCACGUCUAAGCAGUAAGGCUGA
rnacentral:rRNA from 1 species